rnacentral:rRNA from 1 species
GAUGAACGCUGGCGGCGUGCCUAAUACAUGCAAGUCGAGCGAACGGACGAGAAGCUUGCUUCUCUGAUGUUAGCGGCGGACGGGUGAGUAACACGUGGAUAACCUACCUAUAAGACUGGGAUAACUUCGGGAAACCGGAGCUAAUACCGGAUAAUAUUUUGAACCGCAUGGUUCAAAAGUGAAAGACGGUUUUGCUGUCACUUAUAGAUGGAUCCGCGCUGCAUUAGCUAGUUGGUAAGGUAACGGCUUACCAAGGCAACGAUGCAUAGCCGACCUGAGAGGGUGAUCGGCCACACGGGAACUGAGACACGGUCCAGACUCCUACGGGAGGCAGCAGUAGGGAAUCUGCCGCAAUGGGCGAAAGCCUGACGGAGCAACGCCGCGUGAGUGAUGAAGGUCUUCGGAUCGUAAAACGCUGUUAUUAGGGAAGAACAUAUGUGUAAGUAACUGUGCACAUCUUGACGGUACCUAAGCAGAAAGCCACGGCUAACUACGU